rnacentral:rRNA from 1 species
GACGGAGGUGGCAAGCGUUGUUCGGAAUCACUUGGCGUAAAGCGCGUGUAGGCGGUUUGAUAAGUCGAAUGUGAAAGCCCGAGGCUCAACCUCGGAAGUGCAUUCGAAACUGUCAGGCUUGAGUACGGGAGAGGGAAGUGGAAUUCCUGGUGUAGAGGUGAAAUUCGUAGAUAUCAGGAGGAACACCGGUGGCGAAGGCGGCUUCCUGGACCGAUACUGACGCUGAGACGCGAAAGCGUGGGGAGCAAACAGG